rnacentral:rRNA from 1 species
CCUACGGGUGGCAGCAGUGGGGAAUAUUGGACAAUGGGGGGAACCCUGAUCCAGCCAUGCCGCGUGUGUGAAGAAGGCCCUCGGGUUGUAAAGCACUUUCAGUGAGGAAGAACGCCUGGUGGUUAAUACCCAUCAGGAAAGACAUCACUCACAGAAGAAGCACCGGCUAACUCCGUGCCAGCAGCCGUGGUAAUACGGAGGGUGCGAGCGUUAAUCGGAAUUACUGGGCGUAAAGCGCGCGUAGGUGGCUUGAUAAGCCGGUUGUGAAAGCCCCGGGCUCAACCUGGGAACGGCAUCCGGAACUGUCAAGCUAGAGUGCAGGAGAGGAAGGUAGAAUUCCCGGUGUAGCGGUGAAAUGCGUAGAGAUCGGGAGGAAUACCAGUGGCGAAGGUGGCCUUCUGGACUGACACUGACACUGAGGUGCGAAAGCGUGGGUAGCAAACAGGAUUAGAUACCCGUGUAGUC